AGUCUUGCCUGCCCACUGAUAAUUUAAAUGGCCGCGGUAUUUUGACCGUGCUAAGGUAGCAUAAUCAUUAGUUUUUUUAUUGAAAGCUGGAAUGAAGGGUUGGAUGAAAAAAAAACUGUCUUUAUUUAAUUUUGAAAGAAUUUUAUUUUUAAGUUAAAAAGCUUAAAUUUUUUUAAAAGACGAGAAGACCCUAUAGAGUUUAAUAAAAUUAUUAAUAUGUUUUUUUAGAAUUUAAUUUAUUUAUAUAAUAAGUUUAUUUAAUUGGGGUGAUUAAAAAAUUAAUAAAACUUUUUUUAUAUUUAUAUAUUAAUUAAUAAUUUAUUGAUCCAAUAUUUUUGAUUAUAAGAUUAAAUUACCUUAGGGAUAACAGCGUAAUUUUAUUGGAGAGUUCAAAUCGAUAAUAAAGAUUGCGACCUCGAUGUUGGAUUAAAA
rnacentral:rRNA from 1 species